GAUGAACGCUGGCGGCGUGCUUAAUACAUGCAAGUCGAGCGAACAGACGCGGCGCUUGUUCCUCUCACGUUAGCGGCGGACGGGUGUGUAACAUGUGGAUACCCUACUUAUAAGUCUGGGAUAAUCUCGGGACACCGGCGCUUAUCGCGGAUAAUCUACUGCACCGCAUGGUUCAAUAGUGAAAGACGGCUUUGCUGUCACUUCUAGAUGGAUCUGCGCCGCAUUAGCUAGUUGGUAGGGUCACGGCUUACCAAGGCGACGAUGCGUAGCCGACGGGAGAGAGGGGUCGGCGGCACGAGAGCGGGAACGGGGACCAGGGUCCUGCGAGAGGCAGCAGUAGGGAAUCUGCCGCAGUAGGCGAGAACCUGGCAGAGCGGCGCGGCGUGAGUGAUAGAGAUCUUCGGAUCGUGAAACUCUGUUAUUAGGGAAAAACAAAUGUGUAAGGAACUGUGCACGGCGUGACGGUACCGGGUCAAGAAGCCACGGCUAACUACGUG
rnacentral:rRNA from 1 species